UAAAUAUGAACAGAUGAAAACACAUGUGUCUGAAUUCCUAAAACAGCUUGGAGACAUAGGGCUUCUGAUAAUGUAGCAGCAACAACAGCAGCAGCAUUUCCUGAAAGAAGAGGACUGUAUUGUGCCUGGUAGGCUAAAUUGCUCUGUGGAGAGCAAGGUAUUUCCAGGACUCGUAAAUCCAUCUUGUAUCCACCAGCUGUCAGAGGAGAAGAAAAGCGCUGGUCACUGAUCUCGUCAUGAUCAACAUCGGUCUCAGCACCUUGGCUUCUAGCUUGGCCUGGAAGGAAAUGAAUUGAAUGAAAGCAGAAGACAACUACAUAAACUGCACCUGGAAAAACCACCAAAUUUGUCUGCUUGUUCAGACUGUUUUACAAAUGGAGGCAAAUACUGCCCAUCACCAGCUAAGAGCAAGGAGGACACAACAUGGACUGCCGAAAUAAUAAGUGAUCAAGGAGUCCUCCUGGGGUGGGGUCAUUUUGUUCCCAACAAACAGGGUUUGUAAUACUUGCAAAGCUCUCUCCAAGAUGAUUCAAAUAUGAAUUAGAAGCAAAUAUGCUCAAUUUGUUCACAACUGAGUGCAGAAGAUUAAUGCGGAAACAAUGAACUAAAAUAGACUCAAAAUGUAAAAAAAUAAUAGCUCAAAUAAGCUUAUUUGAAAAGUGAACAGGAGCAAAAAAGGAGAAGUUGUUGUUUCUUAGCUAUGCCAAGCUUGAGAAAAUUUUAUGUAUGUCCAUCUUCACAAAGUGAAUUAGAGUAGCCCUUACUUAUUCACUUCUUAUUUUAUGUUCUUAUAAAACUUUGAUAGCACUCUGCAAGUAUAGAAGUGAUUACAUGAGAGCCAUUCUGGGAAGAGGUCAGUUUCUAUUUUCCCUUUCAGUUAUUUGGACCAAACCUGAGGUUUUCUUUGAAGUUGGUGGUAUUCUAAUCAGCAACUCAGAAAUGUAAGGUAAAAUCUCCAACGUGUCCAAGACGUUUCUUUUUCUUUCUUUCUUUCUUUUUUUUUGAAUCAUUCCAUUAGAAAGAUAACAACUACGAGCAAUUUUCAAGUACAUUACAUCAAAAGGCUUAAAACAAUAUAUAUUUUUUAAUAUGUUCAGUUAGCCAACAUAUAGUACAUCAUUAGUUUUUAUGUAAUGUUCAAUGAUUCAUUAGUUGUGUAUAAGACCCAGUGCUCAUCACAACAUGUGUCCUCCUUAAUACAAUAUUUUUAACCAUAA